ensembl:lncRNA
GGGGGUGGGGGGGUCUUCGUACCGCGAUCAGUAAAUGGGAUCAUUGCCUCGUUUAGCCUGCUGGCUAAUUGGAAUUCACUGUGUGUGUCCAUUUGUUGGUAUUCGCCGCCUGUGUGUGUGUGAGUGUGUGUGUGUGUGUGUGUGUGUGUGUGUGUGUGUGAGCGUGUGUGUGUGUGUGAGUGUGUGUGUGUGUGUGUGUGUGUGUGUGUGAGCGUGUGUGUGUGUGUGAGUGUGUGUGUGUGUGUGUGAGUGUGUGUGUGUGUGUGUGUGUGAGUGUGUGAGUGUGAGUGUGUGUGUGAAUGUGUGAUCCUUGAUCAGACUGACAAAGACUUAUUAUGGUGUCGCUUCACGUGACCCCUGUUGACCCCGCUGGCGGAAUAGAAAGUGUGUUUUUGUGUUUGCAGUCUGUUUGUGUGUAUUUUAAUCUGUAUAUGUGUGUGUGUGUGUGUGUGUUUGUCCUGCUAAUGACUUGUCAGCUUCACCACAAGUGCUAAAGGUGACGCUUCCUCCCACACACACACACACACACAAAACACACACACACACACACACACACACUGAGCACAUGAACACAAAAUGACACUUUGAGUUUUGCAACCAAUGCAAAAGAGAUGAAUUUAAAAUGAUUAAAAAAAGAUUAAAUCUGUCAGAUGCUCAGAUUCAGCCGAGUAGAAAGUGUCACUAACUUGAAAUACUGAAGUACGAGUACCUCAAAAUGGUCCUUUAUUGUGAAACGCCCACUCAAAUGCAAGCAAAGUGAUGUGUUGCUUGAUUUGGGAAAUAUCUCGUUUGCCUUUAUUGAAGUGCAGUCUGUGUUUUGUUGGAGUUUUGCAGAAGGAGUGUUGUGGUUUUAGAAAGAAUAUGACUGGAUAAAACAUCUGUCUGAUGCAGAAAAAGUCGCCUAAAGAGGAUGCAUAAUAUAUGUAUAUAUAUAUGUAUAUAUUCAAAGUACAGCCGAGACAUCAACUGGUUUUCACUUUGACUAUUAUGCCCUCUCGUCUCUUCUACCUGGCAGACACACACCAGCACCAUGUGGUCCUGAUGCACAGAGUCUGUUAUAAAGGGGAAAAGGCCUUAAAUGUUAAAACACACAUACUUCAAAUUUAAAUCCACAAGGAAAUCCACUGGAAAGACACAGAAUGACACGUCCCACAUUCAGGUAUAAAUAAUGUGAUGUAAUAAUAAACACCAUCACAUCCUGAAGCA